GUCAUCUCGUCAGCAGCACAUAUGGAGAAUUAGAAAGAUACAGAGAUUAGCAUGGCCCCUGCACAAGGAUGACAUGCAAAUUUGUGAGGCAUUCCACCCCCUU
ensembl:snRNA U6 U6 spliceosomal RNA